AUGAGCCGAUGGAGCUUGGGGCAAAGAAGUUCGUGUGGAUUACUAGGGAGUUUAUGUUCUGGUCUGGACAACAUGUUGGUGAUUUUAUUCUGUAAAGAGUGGAUUUUAUCGACUCAAAAUGAAGUAUCAAGGGGAUACAAACACAUUGAGCAUACACCGAGCCCCUGCAAAACUAAGAUGCCCAUAGUCAACAUCAACGCACACACAAAAAAUCAUGCUGGCAAAGAGCAAACUCAUUCAAGACUGAAGUCAUUCCUAGGCAGAUGGAAAAGAAGAAAGAAAACUCUCAAGCAAUCAAAAUAG
rnacentral:rRNA from 1 species